rnacentral:rRNA from 1 species
GACGAACGCUGGCGGCGUGCUUAACACAUGCAAGUCGAGCGGAAAGGCCCUUCGGGGUACUCUAGCGGCGAACGGGUGAGUAACACGUUAAUAACCUGCCCCAGACUUUGGGAUAACCCUAGGAAUUGGGGGCUACUACCGGAUACGACACAGCUUCGCAUGGGGUCUGUGUGGAAAGUUUUUCGGUUUGGGAUGGGCUCGCGGCCUAUGGGCUUGUUGGUGAGGUGAUGGCCUACCAAGGCGACGACGGGUAGCCGACCUGGGAGGGCGACCGGCCACACUGGGACUGAGAGAGGGAGCAGACUGCUACGGGAGGCAGCAGUGGGGAAUAUUGCAGAGUGGGCGGAAGUCAGAGGCGGCGACGCCGCGAGAGGGAUGACGGCCUUCGGGUUGUAAACCUCUUUCAGCGGAGACGAGGCGUAAGUGACGGUACCUGCAGAGGAAGCGCCGGCCAACUACGUG